ensembl:lncRNA LINC01515 long intergenic non-protein coding RNA 1515
AAACGGCUGGGUAGGAAGCACGCUAGCAGGGGCCUCUGGCCUUGCUGAGGGUCCCUGUUUCCCCUUUUCCUUCCUUUUCACCCAACAAAACCCUGCUUUACUCACCCUUCAAACCAUCUAUGAGCCUAAAUUGUCGUGGUCGUGGAAUGGACAAGGACCCAGUCUUUAGCUGAACUAAGGGAAAGUCCUGCUUUUUGGCGCGCAACAGGGGAGCUCAAGAAACAGGCCUCACUCACGGCAUAUGGAACUAACCACGCCCCUAACUAAGAAGGCACACCUUAGUUGCAGUUAGCACACAAUUAAAGCAACUCUCCAAGUUUUACCUUAAAGUUCAAAAUUGCUAGGAGUUGAAACUACUAGAAAUAUAUUUACAUGCAAGAGUCAAAGAAACUUUGAACUAUUUAUGGCCUUUAAUAAUUAAGUAAGGUAUACUCCUGUGAUCAAGACUUGGAGCAUAUUUGUUUCUCUCUGCCUGGUUCCUCUAGAAAUUGGAAACUAUCAGAACAGAGACCAACUCCGUUUCCCGAUCCCUUUGCAAUCUGCAUUGAACCAUGAGUCAAGUUCUUGAUAAAGGAGUGAAAAUGUGUGUGACACAUGUGCUCAUGGAUUAUUGUCCGAAGCAAGACAUGUGACCAAGCCUAACAUCAACUGGGUGAAGAGCUAUAUGUUCCUUUCUCAAGAGGCACUACAAGUGACAUGCCACUGGGCAGGCCCAUCCGUGGCUGCCCAUGGACCAAUCAGCAUGCGCUUCCUCUCUUCUGAGCUCAUGAAAACCCUGGACUCAGCCAGACUUGCACACUCGUCAGGACAACAUCCCUGCAGAAAGGAGCUACUUGCCAUGUUUCUCCUCUCCUCUGUGAGCUGGAACCCCAUCAGGACAACUUGCCUAUGGAAAGGAGCUACCCACUUUGGGUCUCCUGAAAGCUGUUUUGUCACUCAGUGAAGCUCCUCUGCCUUCCUCACCCUCAAAUUGUCCAUGUAUCUCGUUCUUCCUAGAUGCAGGAAAAGAACUGGGACCUGCUGAAUGGUGAGAAUGAAAGAGCUGUAACACAAACAGGGCUGAAAUAUGCCCCCUGCUCACCACAUUGUGAGUGAUGAGGAGAAAAGAGCUGCAGCCCUUCUGGGAAUGCAGACAUCAGGUCUCCCUGAACUAGGGCUGUGGCACUCUCUUUGGGGCUCUGCUUUUGGGCACCAUCGCAUUCCCCUUGUCUAGAUGCUGGUGCCCACAGCCAAAGCUGCUUUUAAUAUGCCUGGUCUAGCUUCAGUCUUCCAUGGAGCUGGUGCCUGUGCCAGUGCCUGGAACCGCCCACCCCUCUGCCACAGCUGGAGCACCUGGCUGUGUGCAGUGGCUGGACCCUGCACUCACUUGCUCACACAUCCCUCACUGCUCCAUGCCUGGCUUGCCCAUGGCAGUUAGGGGAUGCGGCUGGUAGCACAAGCCGAGCAGGGGCUGCUGGGCUGAGUGGGUGGAAUGAGCCCAGCGAGCACAAGCAAAACCUAAGCAGAGGCACCACCAGCCACAGAGGUUUCUGGCUGGCAAAUUGACACCCUAGGAAUCCCAUGACAGCCUGGGCUCCCUGGUUGCCCACUGCAUUCUGGGAGAGCUUAAGGAUCCACUGUCUUUAACAUCAAGUUUUCUAACCUAUAUCUGUUGAGACUUUUUAAGUUACAUCAUUUCAGAAACAUUAACCAUUUUUCCGUCAGAAUCAAAGCCUGAAUUCCAAAUCUUUUGGUACCAGUAGCAUAUUUUUACAGUAAUUUUCAUUUUUCAACCCUGGCCGUUCUGAUUUUGUAGUGUACCAGCCCCUACUCUGGCAUGAGAUGGAAAGGCUAGGGAAACUAGGGGUUCAAACAUUGCAUUUUCAGCUGUUUGAGAUAAUAUAAGCUUUGUGUUAUGAUUCUGCAGGAAAAUAAAUAAGUAGAUAAAUAAAUAGCACCAAAAAAUAACCAUUAAAUGUCUCUGAGGGGCAGACUAAUGAUAAGCCAUAAAUUAGGGCAUAAAUACAUUGAUCAGCUGGCUACUAGCAAACCACCAGAACUCUGCCGCUAUCUGGAAUGAUAACCUGUGGGAUACAGUCAACUUUCUGCCAGAGCUCCAUUUGAGCUUGAGCCUGUCAUACUCAGCUGAUGCCCAAGUGACCCCUUCUCUCAUCUUUCAUUCAUUUUUCAUGCUUACAUUUUCAUACUACCCUGCUUUGUUCCCUUGCCACCUCUUACUUCCCUCCAGAGGUUUACA